UACGUAGGGUGCGAGCGUUGUCCGGAAUUAUUGGGCGUAAAGAGCUCGUAGGCGGUGCGUCGCGUCGGCCGUGAAAACCCGCAGCUUAACUGUGGGCGUGCGGUCGAUACGGGCAUCACUGGAGUUCGGCAGGGGAGACUGGAAUUCCUGGUGUAGCGGUGAAAUGCGCAGAUAUCAGGAGGAACACCGGUGGCGAAGGCGGGUCUCUGGGCCGAUACUGACGCUGAGGAGCGAAAGCGUGGGGAGCGAACAGG
rnacentral:rRNA from 1 species